rnacentral:lncRNA from 1 species
UGCAAAGUUUUCAUAUUUUUUUUCUGCCAUUUUAAUUCUUUCAAUCAAAUUAGUACACACUGUCGUCUUGUGAAAUAAUUAUUAACGUAAAAACUGGUGAUAUAUCGUAUAGAAAAAUUAAGAUCGCAAUGUUUAUUACUCAUCCCGUGCCUUCAUGCUACGGAGGAAUCAGGAAAAUAUUAUCAGAUUAGUCUUUAGCCAACCAGCAAAAAGCCGGAAACGAUAUCGUCAACUAUGGAAUCUACUUCUACCGUACUCCUAAUAGCGCUAGCGCAGCAUCGACAAGAGUAACAGUUGCAGCAAAUUCAAGAAAGUGCCCUGACAAUCGCGAUUGUUGAUCCGGUCGCCAGAGUGAUGCCGAUUGCCGUCCAACCCAAAGGAAAGUUAAGUUAAUACGUUUUCCAAAACAGCUUGUAAAGUUGUUUGUUGUCCGGGGAUACCAUCCGGAAGUACUUCUCCGGCAUUUCGCUAACCGCUCCACAAAGUGACCGGGAUGAAAACCAAAACAGCAGACAAAAAUAUUAACAUCCAGUGCGUGAAUCAAUUUGGACCUAAAAGGAUGGAUCAAAGAUGAAGGUUCUUGACGAAUUGAAGCGCCGAAAGUUAGCCGCAUCCAACAUCCAACGCAACCAGUGCAUCGAUUGUCACAACCUUUUCUGUUCAAGAAACCAUCCAGCAUCCG